UGGGAACAAUGAGCAAAAGAGUCUU
rnacentral:piRNA from 1 species